rnacentral:tRNA from 3 species
UGGGGUAUCGCCAAGCGGUAAGGCAUCGGACUCUGACUCCGACACCGGUGGUUCAAAUCCAUCUACCCCAG